AAUAACCUUAGGAAUUAAUAAAUUAAAGUAAAUAUGCAUAUUACUUAACCAUAUUUAAGCGUUAAAAAGUGUUUAUGUAAGACAUGUCUCUCAUUCAUUAGCUUGGUGUAAUCACCUAACACGAUGUAUAGAGUUUAGCACUUGUCCGGUGCUGGAAGGUCAGAAGGAGAAUGUUAUAAGCUUUGAAUGAAAGUCCCGGUAAACGGCGGCAGUAACUCUAACUGUCAUAAGAUAGCGAAAUUUCUUGUCGCACAACGCGGGUAAGUUUUUACAGUGAUGGAAUGGGUGUCCUUUUUUUUGGUAAGUUCAAAACGUUUAUAUACUAAUAUAAUUUUUACAUUAUCAUUCGCUGUUGAGAUCGUAAUCGGCCUACAUCAACAUAAAAUGAAACUAUUAAACUAAGGGUGAGUCGUUUUAUUUGGACGAGAACAAUUGCUUAAUAGGCACUUCUUUGUUUCCCUAAAUUGAUACACUAGUAGGUAGCCCAACUAGUUUAUGUAUAAUUCUCAGUAGACAUCAAUAGCUACUGUAAAUCAGAUACCUAGAUAUCUAUUUCUUCCAUUUAAAAAUUACACAUUUUGGACUAUUGGUGACAGCAUGAUUGCACAAGAAGGAUAAGCCUAAUUUAAUUUGUAUGUUCAUAAGUACCGUUCGUUUUAACUUUUGGAUUCAAUCUUAUUUUAUCUUGCUGUUAUUCCUACUUGUUACAAUUACCUUUUCAAAACUGCAUUCUUGGAUUCGAUCUUAUUUCAUCUUGCUGUUAUUCUUAUUUAUUGCAAUUACCUUUUCUUUUUCCGAUGUUUUCUAGCCGAGGGUCUAUUGGAAACAACCCCUCUGCCCUUCCAGGGGUUAACUAAUGGGUUUGUUGUUGUUCAUAAGCACCGUUCGUUUAAAUUUGGUAAACAAGUCCAAUCGAAGUCAUUGAAUUUUGAGUCCAGAGACAUCACGAAACAGCAUGAGCAAAGAACCGAUGUUAACAUGAGAUUAAAGGACUAUAAACAUGAAAGACAGUGCACAUAUUCAAAGAUCAAAGUACCAGCUUUUACACCAGAUUAUAAAUUGACAAGGCUACAUUCAGUAUUAAAUUUGCUCACACACAAGCAAAUUAAGCAAACUCCAAGGGUUAAACACUAACAGCUAAAAGGAUCAUCAUUAAAGUUUCUUGAUCAGUGCAGGUAAGGAGCCUGGUAAUGGUAGCCAUUUCCAAAGAAGUCAUGGCCAGGAGAAAAGUUGUAAACAGCAGCACCCAUGAAUAAAGGAACAUGGUUGCUGGUCGGUCCAGGGUGAGCAUAUGGUCUGUCAUAAACGGAUUGCGGGC
rnacentral:lncRNA from 1 species